AGUGAACGCUGGCGGUAGGCCUAACACAUGCAAGUCGAACGGCAGCACAGUAAGAGCUUGCUCUUACGGGUGGCGAGUGGCGGACGGGUGAGGAAUACAUCGGAAUCUACUUUUUCGUGGGGGAUAACGUAGGGAAACUUACGCUAAUACCGCAUACGACCUACGGGUGAAAGCAGGGGAUCUUCGGACCUUGCGCGAUUGAAUGAGCCGAUGUCGGAUUAGCUAGUUGGCGGGGUAAAGGCCCACCAAGGCGACGAUCCGUAGCUGGUCUGAGAGGAUGAUCAGCCACACUGGAACUGAGACACGGUCCAGACUCCUACGGGAGGCAGCAGUGGGGAAUAUUGGACAAAGGGCGCAAGCCUGAUCCAGCCAUACCGCGUGGGUGAAGAAGGCCUUCGGGUUGCAAAGCCCUUUUGUUGGGAAAGAAAAGCAGCAGGUUAAUACCCCGCUGUUCUGACGGUACCCAAAGAAUAAGCACCGGCUAACUUCGUG
rnacentral:rRNA from 1 species